GAUGUCUGAAUAUGAUUAUGUAUGAGCCAAAAUUUAUCCUAUUAAUUUCUAUUUAAAAUCUUAUAUUCUAUUUUUGUUUUUUUAUCUCAGAACCUUGGACUAUGAAUUUUAGCCGGUCACAAAAACGAAAGUAUUUCUUCAACUUGGUUACAAACGAGUCAUUGUUUGAAUGCCCGUCAGAUUCAAUAGCAUCGUUUAGAGAUUGCCACAAAACAAGACUGUUAUGGAAAUGGGAGGAUGGAGUAGUCGUACAUGACGUCCAGAGCAAUAGGGACGAACACAAGCUAUCUAAGGAUGACAUAUUAAACUUUGUGCAACGGAAAAUACCAAGAUGAAACUACGUAAAAAAUCAGUGAGCUUAAAAAUUGGUCAGAGGGUAUAAAGUUUGGCUGGAAUUCUUAAGUGAAUUUCGAUUUGAAACUGAGGGCUGUGUGCAAACUCUGACAUUUCCAGUGUGCUCGCAAAAACCUUCAUGCACUGCUUUUACACCGCUUUAUGCUCAGCUUUUAACAUCAUUAUUUUUACUGAUGAUAAGUAUUGAGCCGUAACAGCAAUGGGUUUCUAGCCAAAGAUAGUAAGCGGGGCACACACAUUUAGGGUUUUUAAUGUAUUUUUGCAAGCUGCAAGAAAAUUGCCAUCAGGUCUUAUGUUGCCUGCCAGUCACACGUUGCCCUCUUCACUUAAGCUCUUUGUUUUAAUUGUAUUAUUACCUUUGCUUUCAUGCAGGUAACUUUUAUGGGAAUAUCAUUUUAAAUGAUAGUUUUUUAUGAUUCAAAUCAGUUCAGUAUCGGUAUUUAUAUUUACAUUAUCUCAUGUAAUGAUGAAUGAUUGUAAUAAAAAUAAUUAGAAUAAUUAUGGUAAUAUUAAACAUGGAUUGUGAGGUGAGGGGAUUGUGCUAGGCUUCCCGACGGGAGGGUUUGUGAACCCAUUGUUGGAGGCUUGGACCCCUUGUCAGGGAGCUUGAACCCUUCGUCGAAGAAUUCCUGGCGCCGCCCCUGCAGUCAAUAUGUUGUGUAUUGUUGAAGGAUUAUAACUAACAAUCAAUCAAUCACUCAAUCAAUAAGCCAAUUCGUAGUUUGAACUGCACAUGCUCGUAUCUAGGGGCGGAUUUAGGGUCAAAUUUACUGGGGGAGGGGGAGUCAGGAUUAUGAGGGCCCAACUUUACCAUGGUCAACUCACUAUAAGGAAGGGCGCAGAUGUGUUUUUACACUGCGUUGUGUGGGAGAGGGGGGUGGGACAUUUCGUGAGUCCACAAUUUGAAGAAAUAGUAACAUCUACAGUAGAUGGCCGGAAAUGAGACUUUUAUAUUAAAUUUGUAUAGUAAUAUUCACCACAUCACCAUUGUAGUCAAAAUGAAAUGAUCUUUUAUCAGCAGUUUUUGGAAACCAUAGAGAUUUCAUUAAUGUGUGAUGUGCCAUAGAAAAUAAAACUAAUAGAAAAAUUGUUUGAUGUAUUCACUUUACCUACUUCAAAGCCAUGAGUCCACAUUCACCUCAGUGGGGCUGAGGUGCAAAAAUUUGGGGAAAUAGUACCUCUAGAUGCCUGGAAAUGACAUUCUUAUACUGUAUAGGAAAAUUCAUCAUCACAUUACCAUUAUAGUCAAAAUGGAGCGCAUUGUAGGCAAUGGUGUAUCUAGUCUUGGAAUGGGGAUGCUGGCGCCAGUAAUUUUUGGAGUGGCGUGCGCAUCCCUCCUAGAUACGCCACUGAUUAUAGGUAAUUCAGACGAUUGUGGGCUAGAGAUACCGGUAUCUUACUUUAAGAUAAGAUGUACAGUAUUCUGGUUGUACAGCGCUCCUUUAAACCCUGGGUCAUUGAUACAUCUUUUGAAUUUGUAUUGCUGUCGAACCCCCUUUUUAUAACAUGUUGGGGAUGUGUCAUAUUUCUCUCUUUCUUUCUCCCUUUAUAAUCUGCGCCCAUGGGCACACGGGUCCUGAAAGGGUAGGUCUGAAAUUUGUUUUUGCUAGGCAGCUCAAAGGGGGUCACGACCUCUCACGCCCCUCAGAUCCGCCAAUGGUAUCCAAAGUUAAUCAACAUGAACCUAUGUUGUGUGCAUUGUGUGUAUGCGUAUGUCGACUGACCAUGAUACGGGCAUGCGCAGUACAAACUACCAGUUAAUCAAUAAACCAAGAAACCUAUCAAUCAACAUGUUGGGUGAUCUGAACCAUCAACCAGUAAAUCAAUCAAACCAUCAAUCAUCAUAAUGGGCGGGGAAAAACUGUCAGUGUCAGGCAAUGGGAUUGCGUGUGGCAGGCGGCCUUAGCAGUAUAGAGGUCAGUCAGGCUAGAGUGGCAUUGAUCUUAAGUCCGACUACUAUAAAGGGCAUUUAUGUUGUAUACAGCAACAUGUGCUGCACUGAAUUUGUAUUCCAAGUACUUUUCCGCUAAGCCCGCUCCUUAUAUUGUUGCUAAGGUCCCAAAACACGAUGUGUAAAAGCAUACUGACACGUGCGUUUUUGGGACAGCACUGUCUUUGUUAGGACAUGCGCGUGUUCCUGACCCUGUUCGGAUUGGUCAGUUGUUAAGUUUGAUUGACACUCCAGAAAGCUUCACUGGUUCUGUUGAUUGCUGUGUUGGUUGUCAGUCAUUCAUUUAUGGAAUAUGUAGACUGAAUGGAUGCAAGAGUUUGAAAGUCAAUUAAACCCAUUCUUUUUCUAAAUAUAUUUUGACAAAUAAUUUCUUUGAUUGUAUUCAGUAAACGUGGGAAGUAAAUAGACAAACAUUAUUAAAAUCGGUGAAAAUGAGAAAUCUGUGUGAAGAAAUGUCCCCAACCAGGAUUCUAACCCAGACUUUUUAGCCAACUGGGGUACUGGGAGCAUCUGGAAGAUGCAUAAGAAGAGGGCGCAUCAUAUUAAUCUCUGUUUCAAAUGAUACUAGAGUUGUAUCGGCACAUCAUAAGUGUGAAAUCAAUUGACUCUAAUGACAAUCUGAUUCCAACUUCCUACCACACUAAGCUUUUGGACAUCAAAUUUUUCAUGACAUAUUUUAAUCAUCCUAAACAAAUUUUAGUUCGAGUAUUACUGUGGCCUCGUGUUUGACAUACUACACAGCUAACAACAAGUAAUGACGACCGAAUAAAUGCUGAAACUGAA